rnacentral:lncRNA from 1 species
UCGAAGGGCCCUAAUAGAACGCUCUAUUUCAGAAUCGAAAAGUACUAAUUCAGGAGAUCUGGAACGACACCCUAGCAUACACUAAUACUCUUCUGAUCAGUUAAGUACAAUCAAGCAUGCAUUAAAAAGAAAAACAUAUAAAAUCCUAGUAUGUCCCUAAAAUCACUAGACAGCUCCUAAUUGGUUUGAAGAGGGCACCUAGGCCUCCAAUCCGGUCUAAUGAACUUAGUUGACCAGGUAAGCUCCCAGGUAAGUGGGGGGGUCACGAUGCGUUCGCAAAGGUCCCACUUAAAAACCACUUGCCUCGAACAGGUGAACUGUCUCCCUUGGGACAAAGCUUGCCUAGACAUCAACUGAGCCACAGAGCGAAAUUGGUGCAACUUUUGGUGAUCUUCGUCCUAUUGAGCUCGAAUGUCCCUAGGGGCCAACGUCUAAUUGAUUUUAAUUAACGUGAUAGCUAUGUGAGAAUUGAUUCACCUAAUUUGGGCAAGAAUCUGGUGAUGAAAUCCAGUUCUUAUCUUGUAGGGGUGAUUGCCCUUACUAUGUGCGGAUUAAUUGGUGUAUGUGUAUCAAGCAUGCAUUCACACUUUUGCUGAAUUUAAAAUCAAACAAUCACCACAAAAGGAAAUUUAAAUAAGAAAGGUUUAGAGGUUACCAAAGAGAAUUUCUCAAACAAUUUUUCUUUAUUUUUAGGCAAACCUCUACUGCAUUCCUUUUUCCAGUAGUUCCCUUUUGAUCGUCCCAAAUUUCUUCUUUGAUUCCUGAAUAAAAGAAAAUUCAAGAAUUAGUAAGAGAG